rnacentral:rRNA from 1 species
ACUCCCACGGGAGGCAGCAGUAGGGAAUAUUGGUCAAUGGGCGAGAGCCUGAACCAGCCAUGCCGCGUGCAGGAAGACGGCGUUCUGCGUUGUAAACUGCUUUUAUCUGGGAAGAAAAAGCCCUUGCGAGGGAAAUUGCCGGUACCAGAAGAAUAAGCACCGGCUAACUCCGUGCCAGCAGCCGCGGUAAUACGGAGGGUGCAAGCGUUGUCCGGAUUUAUUGGGUUUAAAGGGUGCGUAGGCGGCUGAUUAAGUCAGCGGUGAAAGUUCUCGGCUCAACCGAGAGACUGCCGUUGAUACUGGUUAGCUUGAGUUAUGGAGGGUACAUGGAAUUUAUGGUGUAGCGGUGAAAUGCAUAGAUACCAUAAGGAACACCGAUAGCGAAGGCAUUGUACUGGCCAUAAACUGACGCUGAGGCACGAAAGCGUGGGUAGCGAACAGGAUUAGAUACCCUGGUAGGAUAGCG